rnacentral:tRNA from 1 species
GCCGUUGUGGCGGAAUUGGCAGACGCAGCAGACUCAAAAUCUGCCGCCUUUACGGGUGUGUGGGUUCGACUCCCACCAACGGCACCA